AUUGAACGCUGGCGGCAGGCCUUACACAUGCAAGUCGAGCGGCCGGCGGGUGGGUGAGUAAUGGCUGGGAACCUGCUUGCUGGGGGGGGCUAACUGCUGGCGACGCUAGUUCAUAACGCGCAUCGUCAGGUGUACCCCGAUGGGACUAGCUAGUGGGUGGGGUAACGGCUCACAUAGGCGACGAUCCCUGGCUGGUCUGAGAGGACGACCAGCCACACUGGAACUGAGACACGGGCCAGACUCCUACGGGAGGCAGCAGUGGGGAAUAUUGCACAAUGGGCGAAAGCCUGAUGCAGCCAUGCCGCGUGUGUGAAGAAGGCCUUCGGGUUGUAAAGCACUUUCGGCGGGAAGGCGGUACCCGCAGAAGAAGCACCGGCUAACUCCGUGCCAGCAGCCGCGGUAAUAC
rnacentral:rRNA from 1 species